rnacentral:rRNA from 1 species
AAGCACCGGCUAACUACGUGCCAGCAGCCGCGGUAAUACGUAGGGUGCAAGCGUUGUCCGGAAUUAUUGGGCGUAAAGAGCUCGUAGGCGGUUUGUCGCGUCUGCUGUGAAAUCCCGAGGCUCAACCUCGGGCUUGCAGUGGGUACGGGCAGACUAGAGUGCGGUAGGGGAGAUUGGAAUUCCUGGUGUAGCGGUGGAAUGCGCAGAUAUCAGGAGGAACACCGAUGGCGAAGGCAGAUCUCUGGGCCGUAACUGACGCUGAGGAGCGAAAGCAUGGGGAGCGAACAGGAUUAGAUACCCUGGUAGUCCAUGCCGUAAACGUUGGGCACUAGGUGUGGGGAACAUUCCACGUUUUCCGUGCCGUAGCUAACGCAUUAAGUGCCCCGCCUGGGGAGUACGGCCGCAAGGCUAAAACUCAAAGGAAUUGACGGGGGCCCGCACAAGCGGCGGAGCAUGCGGAUUAAUUCGAUGCAACGCGAAGAACCUUACCAAGGCUUGACAUAUACGAGAACGCUGCAGAAAUGUAGAACUCUUUGGACACUCGUAUACAGGUGGUGCAUGGUUGUCGUCAGCUCGUGUCGUGAGAUGUUCGGUUAAGUCCGGCAACGAGCGCAACCCUCGUCCUAUGUUGCCAGCACGUUAUGGUGGGAACUCAUGGGAUACUGCCGUGGUCAACACGGAGGAAGGUGGGGAUGACGUCAAAUCAUCAUGCCCCUUAUGUCUUGGGCUUCA